rnacentral:rRNA from 1 species
CCUCCAGACGACGAUCUGCUCUGGGAGAUCCUCCUCCGUCUCCCGCCGCUGCCGUCCUCCCUCCCGCGCGCCUCCGCAGUCUGCAAGCGGUGGCGAGGACUCGUCACCGACCCCGGAUUCCUCUGCAGCAUCCGCGACCACCACCGGAAGGAGGGGCCGCCCAUCCUCGGCUUCUUUGUAACAGAAUUUCUAGAGCAUUACCCGGUGGUCGUGUUCCACCCAAUCCUGGACCCUCCAGACAACGUCCCUCUGAGCAUCAACUUCGGAGGCUGCACCAUGCUCGGGUGCCGCCACGGCCGCGUCCUCAUCAUAGACGGUAAAAGGUGGGAGCUGGUCGUGUGCACCCCCAUCACCGGCGAGCAGCAGCGCGUGCCCAUCCCGACGGAGUUCAACUGGGGCUCCUUCAUGGGUUCGGUGAUGUGCGCUGCCAGCGACUGUGGCCACGUGCACGGCGCCUGUCAUUCGGGACCCUUUAACGUGGUCUUGGUGUCCGCCUACCUCGAGGAAAAAAUCGCAUGUGUGUAUUUCUCCGAGACUGGCGCAUGGGGUAAUCUCAUCUCGACGGUCGGUCCAUAUCAAACAUUUAUUGCCGGUUGUCCUGGGUUGCUUGCUGGCAGGACACUUUACUGGCUAUCCACGGAAGAUACCUUAAUAGAGUUUGAUUUGGAAGAGCAGAGUCUAGCUGUGGUCAGGGUGCCUCCAGGUACAAAGGAACUCCGCAAUUGUCAGAUCAUCCUGGCUGAGGAUGACGCUAUUGGCUUUGCCAUUUUGUCUUACCCGUAUUUCCAAAUGUGGCAGAGAAACACGAACUGUCACGGUGAUGGCACAUGGGUGCCGUGGAAAACCAUUCAAAUGCACAUCAUUCUUGGCCUCCCUCCCCAGGUUGAGUUACCAAUAAUGAAAACUAUAUUGUGCUAUGAUGAGGAUACCGAUACAAUUUUUUUGUCUGUGGAUAAGAAUGUAUACAUGGUUCAAUUCAAGUUGAUGCAAUCCAAGAGACUUUAUACAACCGAGAGUGUCUAUGGCUUCUAUCCUUUCAAGAGUUUCUACCCACCAGGUAAUUGCUUGUCCUUUUUUUAUAUCAUAGUCUUGGGAGUAAUGCGUUCACUAACAACUUGA